GACGAACGCUGGCGGCGUGCCUAAUACAUGCAAGUAGGACGCAGUUGCGAACGGGUGAGUAACGCGUAGGUAACUGCCUAUUAGAGGGGGGUAACUAUUGGAAACGAUAGCUAAUACCGCAUACUCGUAGAUGGACCUGCGUUGGAGUAGCUAGUAGGUAGGGUAAUGGGCUACCUAGGCAACGAGACAUUGCCGAGCUGAGAGGUGUAUCGGCCACAAUGGGACUGAGACACGGCCCAGACUCCUACGGGAGGCAGCAGUAGGGAAUCUUCGGCAAUGGGGGGAACCCUGACCGAGCAACGCCGCGUGAGUGAAGAAGGUGUUCGGAUCGUAAAGCUCUGUUGUUAAGGAAGCGGUACUUAACCAGAAAGGGACGGCUAACUACGUGCCAGCCGCCGCGGUAAUAC
rnacentral:rRNA from 1 species